GGCCGCGGGAAUUCGAUUAGAGUUUGAUCAUGGCUCAGGAUGAACGCUGGCGGUAUGCCUUACACAUGCAAGUCGAACGGAAAUUAGCUUCGGUUAAUUUUAGUGGCGGACGGGUGAGUAACACGUGAGAAUUCGCCUUUAGGAGGGUGAUAACGGAUGGAAACAUUCGCUAAAACCCCAUAUGCCCCCGGGUGAAAAAGAGGAGAUAAGUAAAACUGAAUCACCUCUGCCUGAAGAGAAGCUCGCGGCUGAUUAGCUAGUUGGUAGGGUAAAGGCCUACCAAGGCGACGAUCAGUAGCUGGUCUGAGAGGACGAUCAGCCACACUGGAACUGAGACACGGUCCAGACUCCUACGGGAGGCAGCAGUGAGGAAUUUUCUGCAAUGGGCGCAAGCCUGACAGAGCAAUACCGCGUGAGGGAUGAAGACUUACUGAGUUGUAAACCUCGGUGCCUUAAGGAAGAAGAUCUGACGGUACUUAAGGUGGAAAGCAUCGGCUAACUCCGUGCCAGCAG
rnacentral:rRNA from 1 species